CUCAGUUUGUGUCACUGAGUCUUUAUGUAAGACUUUAUGUAAGACUUUACUGCUGAAAUAGAUUGUGAAGACUUUAAGCAGAUUCGCAUUUUAGUAAUUCAUUUUCAUAUCUUAGCCUGAGUAAUUUGCAAGGGGAAUACAAUCAAGAAUAACUCUGACCUUUCCUUGACUAACUAAAGGUGAUGGAGCUUCAAGUGCAAUUUUUCCAAUCUGAAUGCAAACAAAUGACAACAGAAGAUGUGAUGGCUGCUUUUGCCCAGUACUUCUGCUCCAAUGAUCUCACAAAAGACAUGUUGCUUUGAAUGGAAAUCCUACCUGAAAUGAUUCACUUCAGCAUGAACUAGGUCCCCAAUGGACCUUGACUAGAGUAAUGGUAGUUCUUCAAGUUACAGUUUAGAUAACAAAUCAAAUUUUAAAGGUAGAGGGCUAACCAGCUACACAUCACAGAGACUCUGCCCAGUCUGUCACCCAAGAAGGGAAACCACAUCCAGAUGUUAUACAGAACAAAGAAGUAAAAUUGAGAAGGGGGAAUGUGGUCAUUUCUGAGCUGGGGACAGCCUAAUUAUAGCUCUAGUGGCUCUCUUACUCAAAUGCCCCUUCCUGGCACAGCCUUUAAGAGAAGAGUCACAAAAUGUAAAGACUUGUUAUGGUAGCAUAUUUAGACCCUGUUAUAGUUUAGAUCUGGGAUGUUCCCCCAAAGUCUCAUUUUAAAGGCUUGGUCUCCAGUGUAGCCACAGGUGUGGCCUCUGGAAAGGUGACCAUGGCCUCUAACCUCAUUGGUGGAUGAAAUGAAUCAAUGGAUUCAUAAUUCAAUGGCAUUAUUGGGAAGUGGUGGAAACUUUGGGUGUGGGGUCAGGUUGGAGGAGGUGGGUCACUGGGGGCAUGACCUGGAAGGGUAUAUCUUAUAUCUUGUACCCAGCCCCUUUACCCUUUCUCUCAAUAACUCCCCCUUGCUGCUGCCGCCCCCCUGCUUCCCACCAGCCAUGACUUGAACAGCUUUCUUUCUCACCCUCAGUCCCAGAAACAAUGAAGCCGGCUAAUGGUCUGCAAUCUCUGAAAUUGUGAGCCAAAAUAAAUCUUUCUUCUGUUAA